rnacentral:siRNA from 1 species
GCAGGACGGUGGUCAUGGAAG